rnacentral:rRNA from 1 species
AGACCCGAAACCCGGUGAUCUAGCCAUGGGCAGGUUGAAGGUUGGGUAACACUAACUGGAGGACCGAACCGACUAAUGUUGAAAAAUUAGCGGAUGACCUGUGGCUGGGGGUGAAAGGCCAAUCAAACCGGGAGAUAGCUGGUUCUCCCCGAAAGCUAUUUAGGUAGCGCCUCGUGAAUUCAUCUCCGGGGGUAGAGCACUGUUUCGGCCAGGGGGCCAUCCCGGCUUACCAAUCCGAUGCAAACUGCGAAUACCGGAGAAUGUUAUCACGGGAGACACACGGCGGGUGCUAACGUCCGUCGUGAAGAGGGAAACAACCCAGACCGCCAGCUAAGGUCCCAAAGUCAUGGUUAAGUGGGAAACGAUGUGGGAAGGCCCAGACAGCCAGGAUGUUGGCUUAGAAGCAGCCAUCAUUUAAAGAAAGCGUAAUAGCUCACUGGUCGAGUCGGCCUGCGCGGAAGAUGUAACGGGGCUAAACCAUGCACCGAAGCUGCGGCAGCGACACUGAUGUGUUGUUGGGUAGGGGAGCGUUCUGUAAGCCGUUGAAGGUGUGUCGUGAGGCAUGCUGGAGGUAUCAGAAGUGCGAAUGCUGACAUAAGUAACGAUAAAGCGGGUGAAAAGCCCGCUCGCCGGAAGACCAAGGGUUCCUGUCCAACGUUAAUCGGGGCAGGGUGAGUCGACCCCUAAGGCGAGGCCGAAAGGCGUAGUCGAUGGGAAACGGGUUAAUAUUCCCGUACUUGGUGUUACUGCGAAGGGGGGACGGAGAAGGCUAUGUUGGCCGGGCGACGGUUGUCCCGGUUUAAGCGUGUAGGUGUGUGUUCCAGGUAAAUCCGGUUCACUUUAACACUGAGGCGUGACGACGAGGCAC